rnacentral:rRNA from 1 species
GACGAGGGAUCCUAGCGUUGUUCGGAAUUACUGGGCGUAAAGAGUGUGUAGGCGGUGUCGUAAGUUUGGCGUGAAAUCUCCCGGCUUAACUGGGAGGGUGCGCCGAAGACUGCGGUGCUUGAGGAUCGGAGAGGAAAGUGGAAUUUCUGGUGUAGCGGUGAAAUGCGUAGAUAUCAGAAGGAACACCUGUGGUGUAGACGGCUUUCUGGACGAUUCCUGACGCUGAGACACGAAAGCGUGGGUAGCAAACAGG